AUGGCGAAGAAAGUGCAGGUGGUCGCCACGCUCCUGGCCCUGAACCUUCUCUUCUUCACCUUCGCCAACGCCACUGGCCGCGGAAACUGUGGCGGAAACGGUGGCGGUGGGAACGGUGGCGGAGGAAACGGUGGAGGUGGGAACGGUGGCGGAGGAAACGGUGGAGGUGGGAAUGGUGGCGGCGGAAACGGUGGCGGCGGCAACGGUGGGGGCGGAAACAGCACCCAGUGCCCGCUGGACGCGCUGAAGCUGGGGGUGUGCGCGAACGUGCUGGGGCUGCUGAACAUUACCCUGGGGAGCCCGCCGGUGCAGCCGUGCUGCUCGCUGAUCCAGGGGCUGGCGGACCUGGAGGCGGCGCUGUGCCUGUGCACGACGCUGAACCUCAACCUCCUGGGCAUCAACCUGACCUUGUCCAUCGCCCUCAGCCUCGUCCUCAACAACUGCGGCAAGAACGUCCCCUCCGGCUUCCAGUGCCCCAACUGA
rnacentral:rRNA from 1 species